GCCCGCCUAGCCCAAUUGGAUCGGGCACCAGGUCCUUAUAUCGCCGAUUGAACACUUACAUGUAUAGGUAAUCCGAAGGCUGCGAGUUUGACCCUCGUGGUGGGCA